rnacentral:rRNA from 1 species
GAUGAACGCUGGCGGCGUGCCUAAUACAUGCAAGUCGAGCGAACAGAUGAGGAGCUUGCUCCUCUGACGUUAGCGGCGGACGGGUGAGUAACACGUGGAUAACCUACCUAUAAGACUGGGAUAACUUCGGGAAACCGGAGCUAAUACCGGAUAAUAUAUUGAACCGCAUGGUUCAAUAGUGAAAGACGGUUUUGCUGUCACUUAUAGAUGGAUCCGCGCCGCAUUAGCUAGUUGGUAAGGUAACGGCUUACCAAGGCAACGAUGCGUAGCCGACCUGAGAGGGUGAUCGGCCACACUGGAACUGAGACACGGUCCAGACUCCUACGGGAGGCAGCAGUAGGGAAUCUUCCGCAAUGGGCGAAAGCCUGACGGAGCAACGCCGCGUGAGUGAUGAAGGUCUUCGGAUCGUAAAACUCUGUUAUUAGGGAAGAACAAGUGUGUAAGUAACUAUGCACGUCUUGACGGUACCUAAUCAGAAAGCCACGGCUAACUACGUG